AGGCUCAGGGCCACGAAUGGAAAUCUAACAGGCAGCGAUGUGUCUGGGCCGAUCCUCCCCAAACGCCCCAGGACACCGCACACUGAGCUGGCGGUGCGGGCCUGCUGAGAGGAUAUGGACUCUCAGGUGUCCAUCGGCGGGACUGAGAUUAUUGAUGGGGCAAAAGGAGGUGAAUCUGGCUGCCCCAGAUCCUGAAGUGAUGGGUCGCUUUUGCGGAGGAGGCGGUUUUCAGGCAAAACCCCCAGAUCAAACAACUACGGCUGUUUCCAGCAAGUCAACGGUCGACCAUCAACGCGGCCUACUGAACACACACUCUGCGCACAGCCUUGCCUCGCAAAGACACUCUGGAGAGUUCAGAAGUAUUAGAAGUCAUGAUCCCUAUCCUCAAAUAGUUUGCAAUCAAAGGUAGCGCAAACAUAUACAUCUUAAAGCAGCUUGCAGAACCAAAGAAAACUGUACGUAACCAUAACACACAUGACAGAAGUAUUAAACAUACAAAUUAUGAAACGAAUGGCAGGAAGAUAAAGGCAUGUAACCAAC